rnacentral:rRNA from 1 species
AUUGAACGCUGGCGGCAUGCCUUACACAUGCAAGUCGAACGGUAACAGGUCUUCGGAUGCUGACGAGUGGCGAACGGGUGAGUAAUGCAUCGGAACGUGCCCAGUAGUGGGGGAUAGCCCGGCGAAAGCCGGAUUAAUACCGCAUACGACCUGAGGGUGAAAGGGAGGGAUCGCAAGACCUCUCGCUAUUGGAGCGGCCGAUGUCAGAUUAGCUAGUUGGUGGGGUAAAGGCCUACCAAGGCAACGAUCUGUAGUUGGUCUGAGAGGACGACCAGCAAAACUGGGACUGAGACACGGCCGAGACUCCUACGGGAGGCAGCAGUGGGGAAUUUUGGACAAUGGGCGCAAGCCUGAUCCAACAAUGCCGCGUGCAGGAAGAAGGCCUUCGGGUUGUAAACUGCUUUUGUCAGGGAAGAAAUCUUCUGGGUUAAUACCUCGGGAGGAUGACGGUACCUGAAGAAUAAGCACCGGCUAGCUACGUGCCAGCCGCCGCCGUAAAAC